GAAUGAGAAGCUGAUUUAUUCAUUUUCCCUAUUGGUUUGAUUGCAGAAAUGAUAGCAGCAAAAGUAUUAAUUACCUCUAGUUGAUCAUUU